rnacentral:rRNA from 1 species
AUACGGAGGAUCCGAGCGUUAUCCGGAUUUAUUGGGUUUAAAGGGUGCGCAGGCGGCCAUUUAAGUCAGCGGUUAAAUCGUGGGGCUCAACCCCAUUCUGCCGUUGAUACUGGGUGGCUUGAUUGCGGUCGAGGUUGGCGGAAUUCGUUGUGUAGCGGUGAAAUGCAUAGAUAUGACGUAGAACACCGAUUGCGUAGGCAGCUGACCAGAUCGCAAAUGACGCUCAUGCACGAAAGUGCGGGGAUCGAACAGGAUUAGAUGCCCUGGUAGUCCGCACAGUAAACGAUGAAUACUUGUUUUCGGCGAUAUAAUGUCGGAGGCAAAGCGAAAGCGAUAAGUAUUCCCCCUGGGGAGUACGCCGGCAACGGUGAAGCUCAAAGGAAUUGGCGGGG